rnacentral:rRNA from 1 species
CCUACGGGAGGCAGCAGUGGGGAAUCUUGCACAAUGGGGGAAACCCUGAUGCAGCGACGCCGCGUGAGUGAAGAAGGAUUUCGGUAUGUAAAGCUCUAUCAGCAGGGAAGAAAAAAGACGGUACCUGACUCAGAAGCUACGUCUAACUACGUGCCAGCAGCCGCGGUAAUACGUAGGGGGCAAGCGUUAUCCGGAUUUACUGGGUGUAAAGGGAGCGUAGACGGCUGUGCAAGUCUGAAGUGAAAGCCCAGGGCUCAACCCUGGUACUGCUUUGGAAACUGUGGAGCUAGAGUGCUGGCAGGGUAAGUGGAAUUCCUGGUGUAGCGGUGAAAUGCGUAGAUAUUAGGAGGAACACCAGUGGCGAAGGCAGGUUACUGGACAGUAACUGACGUUGAGGCUCGAAAGCGUGGGGAGCAAACAGGAUUAGAUACCCGAGUAGUC